rnacentral:rRNA from 1 species
AGAGUUUGAUCCUGGCUCAGGAUGAACGCUGGCGGCGUGCUUAACACAUGCAAGUCGAACGAGAAUCAACGGAUUGAGGAUUCGUCCAAAUGAAGUUGAGGAAAGUGGCGGACGGGUGAGUAACGCGUGAGGAACCUGCCUCGGAGUGGGGAAUAACAGUUGGAAACAGCUGCUAAUACCGCAUGAUGCAGUUGGGCCGCAUGGCCCUGACUGCCAAAGAUUUAUCGCUCUGAGAUGGCCUCGCGUCUGAUUAGCUGGUUGGCGGGGUAGCGGCCCACCAAGGCGACGAUCAGUAGCCGGACUGAGAGGUUGGCCGGCCACAUUGGGACUGAGACACGGCCCAGACUCCUACGGGAGGCAGCAGUGGGGAAUAUUGGGCAAUGGGCGCAAGCCUGACCCAGCAACGCCGCGUGAAGGAAGAAGGCUUUCGGGUUGUAAACUUCUUUUAUUCGGGACGAAGAAAUGACGGUACCGAAUGAAUAAGCCACGGCUAACUACGUGCCAGCAGCCGCGGU